AAGUGAAGCUGGGGAAGAAGAAUACCGUCUGGAGAAGAGACCCAGACAGGAGGAAGAGAGUGUAGAUCAAAAGUUGCAGAAACUGAGAGAACAACUCUUAGCUGAACUGGGAGCGAAGGAUCCCAACCAAGCCCUCUUGCCCACCUCUUCACCUUUCUCGAAGUGGGUGCAGUAAGAGACCAUUCCCAAGAAGUUUAUGAUGCCACCCAUGGCGGCUUACGACGGAGUGGGAAACCC
rnacentral:lncRNA from 1 species